rnacentral:rRNA from 1 species
GACGAACGCUGGCGGCAGGCUUAACACAUGCAAGUCGAGCGGCCCGCCAGGGGAGCGGCAGACGGGUGAGUAACGCGAGGGAACGUACCCAUUGGUUCAGCACAACUCCGGGAAACUGGAGCUAAUACCGGAUAAGCCCUAACGGGGAAAGAGUUAUCGCCGGAAGAUCGGCCCGCGUGUGAUUAGCUAGUUGGUGAGGUAAAGGCUCACCAAGGCGACGAGCAGUAGGUGGUCUGAGAGCAGGAACAGCGAAACUGGGACAGGGACACGGCCCAGACGCCAGGGGGAAGUAGCAGUUAGUAAUAUAUGGGAGGGGGCGCAAUCCUGCACCGCCCAGGCCGCGAGAGUGACGUACGCCUUAUAGUCGUAUAUCGCUUUUGACCAAGAAUAAAAGGACUUUAUCGGUAGAAAAAGCCCCGGCUAAUACCUU